UGCAGGUUCGAGCCCCAGUCCGGGAGGAUUCCACAUGCCACGGAGCAACUAAGCCCGUGCGCCGCAACUACUGAGCCUGAGCUCUAGAGCCCCCGAGCCACAGCUACUGAGCCCGUGCGCCACAACUACUGAAGCCUGCGCUCUAGAGCCCCCGAGCCACAGCUUCUGAGCCCGUGCGCUGCAACUACUGAGCCCGUGCGCCGCAACUACUGAGCCUGCGCUCUAGAGCCCCCGAGCCACAGCUACUGAGCCCGUGCGCCACAACUACUGAAGGCUGCUCUCUAGAGCCCCCAAGCCACAGCUACUGAGCCCGUGCGCCACAACUACUGAAGCCUGCGCUCUAGAGCCCCCGAGCCACAGCUACUGAGCCCGUGUGCCACAACUACUGAGCCUACGCUCUAGAGCCCGCGAGCCACAGCUACUGAAGCCCAGGCGCCUAGAGCCCGUGCUCCGCAGCAAGAGAAGCCACCGCUGUGAGAAGCCCGCGCACCGCAACGAGGAGUAGCUCCCGAUUGCCGUGACUAGAGAAAGUCCACGCACAGCAACGAAGACCCAACGCAGCCAAAAAUAAAUAAAUUAAAUAAAUUAAAGAGAAAAAAAAAAGAAAACUUACCAAAGGCUUACUACAUGUUGCUACUGCUCUGAAUGCUUUAAUUCAUUCAUUUAUUCAACAAGUAUUUACUGAGUGCAUCCUAUGUGCCAGUCACUUCUAAAUGCUGUUUAUUCAUUUAUUCAUCCAGUGCUUGACCUGUUAUGUGUCAAGUAUUGUUGUAAAUGCUUUUCAUUCACUCCUUCAUUCAUUCAUUCAACAAGUAUUCACUGAGUGCAUUCUAUGUGCCAGUCACUUCUAAAUGCUGUUUAUUCAUUUAUUCAUCCAGUGCUUGACCUCUUAUGUGUCAAGUAUUGUUAUAAAGCCUUUUCGUUCAUUUAUUCAACAAGUAUUUACUGAGAGCCUCCUGUGUGUCAGGCACUGAUCUGGGCUCUAUAGUGGUGAGCCAAACAAAGCUUCUGCCUUUACAGAGAUGAUACUUUAUUGAGGGUUGCCAGGCAAUGCACAAAUAAACAAGAAAACAUACAGUGUAUCAGGUGAUUUUAAGCCCUACAGAGAAAAAUCAGCUGAGGCGAACGGGCAGAGUGCCGGGUAGAUGUUGCUAUAUUUAGGUCUCAUUGAUGAGGUGACAUUUGAGCAGAGAGCGAGCAAACAUGACAAAAUCAGUCACGGGAAACACCAGUACAUAGACCCUGAGGUGGGAGUGUGCUUGGCCUACAUGAGAAAAAGCAAGGGAGGAUGGGGUGACGGGAACAAGGGAGAGGGGUGAACAAGGUCAGAUGGAGCUGGGAGGGAAACUAAGCAGGACCUCACAGGCUCUGUUUGACGGGAACACAGUAGAGUGCUUUGACCAUGGGAAUGACUUGUUUGAAAAGCAUCCUCCAGCUGCUGUGCUGAAAAUAGACUAGGACAUCAGGGUGAAAGUCAGGGGCACAAUUAAAUGGCUAGUGCCGAAUCCAGGCUGGAGGAGCUGGUGGCUUGGGCGGUGGCAGUUACACUGGAGGUGGUGAGAAGUGGUCAGUCGCCAGUUAUCUCUGAAGGGAGAGCCCGUGGGAUUCGCUGGUGGACUGGAUGUGGUACGUGAGAGGAAGAGGAAAGUCAGAGAUGAUCCCAAGGAUUCUGUCCUGAGCAGCUUCAAGGGUAGAGUUGACAUUUCCUGAGACAGUGAAACUGCCGGAGGAGCUGUUUAGAGGAAGAGCUGGAAUGCGGAGCUCAGUUUGGGAUAUUAUUAAGUUUGAGAUGCUCAUGACGAUCUCAGUAAAGAACUCGAGGCGGGCAUUUCGGGGUUAGUCCGCCAUUCCAGGGAGGCGUCCAGACUAAGAAUAUAAAAGAGGGCAGAGAUGGUGUUGAAAAAUCACAGACCAGACACAUGAACUGAGCGUGUAUGAGGUUAGAAGGAAAGUCCCAGCACAGAGUUAUAGGGCACGCCAAGGUCUAGAAAAGGAGGCAGGAUCCAGGCGGGAGAUGAAGAUGUAACCAGUGAGAUGGAAGGAAAACCAGAAUCAACGGUUAUGCUGGAAACCAAGCCAGGAGGCGCUCGAGAAAGAGGGAACCAUCGACCACGUCAAGUGCUGUGGAGGAUUCUCCAUCUUGCUUCUUUGGAGCCAGUGGAAAGCAGGAGCAGCCAGCAUGCAGGCGACCAUUUACCCUUUCCAGGCCUGGGAGAGAGAAAAAUCAGCUGACCCAAGGCCCUGGGCCCUCAGCUCUCAAGAGCUGACAUCCUAGAAUCAUAAGCCAGGUGGGGAGCUGGGGAACGGCGCACCAGUGGAAGCUAGAUGAUCUGGUUCAAGACAGUGUGCCCCUGACAAAAUGAUGCUUGGAGAGAAAUCUCCUGGAAGUAUGGAAUGUCUUCCUGCUGUCUAGAAUUCCUUGAUUAUUUCUUCUAAGAGGUAUUGGUUCUAUGGUAGGUCAUACAUAUUUGGAACUCAGAACUUAAAUAUUUGUUGCUUAUUCCAUGCCCAGGGUCUCAGAGGCGCUCGAGUUUUUGUCGAAUGAAUGUAAGAUGAUCUGUGCUAAAUGAAUGCAUCGAUGAUACAUUUAAAUGUUUGAAAACUGCUAACUGAUGCAUUGCUCUGAAAUUAAUACGUUAAAAUAUAACAGGAGCGAAUGUACAGCCAUGUAUUCAGUCUCCAAAAAAUCAACAGGGACAAGAGGGAGGAUAUUUGUUUCAACAGCAGUUCAAAUGAAACAGACGUGAGAGCUUUGGUUUACAACUUAGUAAGAGCCAAAGGUAUGAAGCACGUACUGAAGAGCUGACGCGACGUUAGACUGUUUCCGUAAAAGAAUGGUUUCUAGGUCAAGACUGGACGUCACUACACUGUGCUCGUAGGUGAUUCAAUCUCACCUGGAGUAUUGGAGUUGAUAAUUAGUUGUCACAUCUUAAGAGGCACAUGGAUAAACAGACCAUGUUCAGAGAAUAGAGGGCGUGGGGGCUAAAAGUCUAAAUGCCAUGAUUUAUUAUGCCCUGAAAGAACUCAGAAUGUUUGGCUAGAAGAAACAACCACAAGUGACACCAAGAUUGAUUAGAUGAUACUCUAAAAUUCAUAAAAAAUUAAUGACUGUGAAGCAAUAUCCAUAAUUUAUCACCAAAGGACCUGGGGUAGUUAAAGGUGGCACCCCCAACACGGAAGUCUCUGCUCCCAUCGCCUGAAAAGUAUUUCAGGUAUAAAUUAAAAUGCUCUACGAGACAUUGUUUUCCAUAAACAAGGGGUUUAAAUUAUCCUGACCCACAAAUAAAGGUCAUCCAUAUGUUAUUUACCCAAAUAACCAUAGUCUUGUCCGAAAUGUUAGAUCAUUCCACUAAUAGAGUUUUUUCUGUUGUUCCAAAUCAUUAAUAAGAAUUUUGACGGCAGUAAAAGCAACAAAAUAAAUCAAUCCUUAAUAAAUUAUAUAUAAAUGCUCCUCUUCUUUCAGCAAUGAUUUAUUAAUAUCCACUCACAGAGCUGCUUGUUCUCUAUCGAUGCAGGUUUUUAAUCACGUAUGAAUUUGCCAAACCAUAUUUCAUUCAAUUAAUGUACUUCCAUCUGUUUUUAAGGAACUUUAGCAAAUGCUUUACUCUAUCUAUGAUUCCCCUUACGUGCUAGGAUAUGAAUGCUGUGAAAAAUAAUGAGGUUAGUAUUGCAAGACUUCUUUUGUGAACGCUUAGCUCAUUUUCUAAGAAGCUUGACUUCUUUCGCUUAAUAUUCAACUGUCAAAUUGUGCCAAGAAAUAACAAGCCUCCUGCUCCCAUGUUUGAGAUUCAUCUUUGUGAAAUUUGGAAGAUCCUGUUCCCCAAAGAACAUCUCAAAGAUUAUGACCAGGGUUCUGGGAUCUUACCAGACUCUCUGAGACCUCGUCUGGACUAGGGAGGGGGAAAGUGACGUAGAAGAGGCAGCUUCACGGGGCAGACAGGUUCACCUGGGGGUGAUUGCGCGAGGGAGGCACCGUGCUGGCAGGAUCCUUAAACCUUGUCCAGUCUCAGCAGGAAGUCAUGCCAUCACACCACGGCCAUGUCUCUCACUGACCCCCAUGAGGAGAGGGUUUGUGUGGGAACUCAGUAUUUCCAUCUAGAGCUAAGUGUUUUCUUACUAUUUCUUUACCAUUCUAAGCUUUAUUUUCCUUCAAUGCAUCUUUGUUUUACGUUUUUCAUUUUGAAGACUUUUCGUAUUAAGGGAUAAAAUUGAAGAAAAAUUGGAGGUAAUUAGUUCCGUUGUUUAUUAGUUGUCACUUUGGACAAGUUGCUUAACCCUACUUUAUGGUGUUCAGUUUCAUUCUUGCUUAGGCUAAUCUUAUGUAGCAGUGACUAUCUAUACCAUCUCUGUCUUCUUUAGUUCUCUUUCCGUCCAUGGAUUCAAUCAAAGGCACUUAUUACCCUUUUAAAAAAUUUUUAUUGCCACAGCUAAUUUUUUCCCAGUUUUACUGAGAUACAGUUGAUAUAUAACAUUGUGUUAGUCCAAGGUGUAAAAUGUAAUGAUUUGAUGUAUGUAUAUAUUGCAACAUGACUACCACAAUACGUUUAGUUAACAUCAGUCACCUCACACAGAUAACAAGUGCUGGAGAGGGUGUGGAGGAAAGGGAGCCCUCCUGCACUGUUGGUGGGAAUGUAAAUUGAUACAGCCACUAUGGAGAACAGUAUGGAGGUUCCUCAAAAAACUAAAAAGAGAGCCACCAUACGAUCCAGCAAUUCCACUCCUGGGUAUUUAUCCAAAGGAAACAAAAUCACUACCCUGUAGAGCUAUCUGCACCCACAUGUUCAUAGCAGCACUAUUUACAAUAGCCAAGACAUGGAAAUAACCUAAGUGUCCAUCAACAGAUGAAUAGAUACCCAUUUAAAAAAUUUUAAAGGUUCCUUUCUUUAAAAAUUUCUCCAGAUUCACUCACUCUCACAAUCUCAUGCAGCCAAAUCUUUGCUUCAGAUUUUGAUCUCCCUACCUCACCUCUUGGACUGGAAACCUUGGGUUGUCCUGCGGUUCCCUGGACACCUUUUGCCAGUAACAUGCUGGGAGUUCCCUGUGCUUUUUGACUACACUCUCGGGCCACCCCCUGUUCACUCCUGUCCUGUCCUCCCGACACCCUCACCCACGCUGGACAGCACAGCUGCCUAGGGCCAGAAGGUCAGAGUAGCAUUGGACUUGAAAGCAACCACACAAUGAGAGCACUGAAAAACCCAUAAAACCUCUAGACAGCUCUAUCCUUACAACAUGUUCUCAAUCCUAAAAUGCGAUAUAUUUGAAGGCAGCAUCAGUUCAAAAAGCUUUUUUAGGGAAAAAAAUAAUAGACGUGCGCUGGGAUUUACAAGGGAUUGGAUUUCAGAAGUAUUUUAAUGUUAAAAAAAAAAAAAAAAAAGCAUGUCUUAGGAUCGGGGAAACGCAGCGUUGUUCUUCGCUUUCGGCGCCUGCCCACACUUCCUAGGGUUAUUGAACAGGCUGGAGUGAAAUCAGGAAAGAGCUUUGUGUUUCCCCACCGCAGUCGCCCUCAAACCUAUCUUGGGCAGAUUUCAGAAUGCCCUGAUCCCCUUCAAGCCCCAGAAGAUCCAGUAUAAUCCAAAUCAAAACUUCACUCCCUCAUCCAACAGAAGCUUCUCCCUUCUCUCCCGGCUCAGGUCAGACCCACUCCUUCUUCCUGCCCCUCCCCCGCUCUCUCUGCUGCUUCCAGGUUCCCGAGGGCCAGAGCCGGGGCAGGGAAAGGGCUCCGCACUGUGUAAUGUUCCCUCUCACCGCGGAUGCACAUAUAUUGGAGAAUUGCGCUGGCGCCUUCUGUGGGUUGGGUAGGCGAACCGCCCCGCCGCUGUCACCCCGCCGUCACGGCCCACACUCCCUCAGACGCACGGCAAGGCUGCACAAGGACCCCAGUCCCUGUCGGGGAAGAGGCACUUGGAGAUGCCCUCUUAGGAGGGCCCUCAGCUCUUCCUCUCUGCACUUUGCUACUGGGCUCCCUUCCCCCAAGCCGCCAGCCCUCUUGGCUGUGGUCCUUUCCAAACUGGGGCCUUGCAGGUAUGCCUCUCUCUGUCCUCUCUCCUCUCCCAGUCCUCAGCGGCGGCUUCAGCCAGCACCCUCCUGCAGGCUGCUUCGGUGGUGAGUCAGGCCCCAAGUCUCACGACCAGCAAACCCAAGGGCCACAUUUCAAGGCCCUCCCAGGAACCCUCCCAUGCCCCUCCAGCCACAGCAAGGGGAAGGCUGGAGAGUUUCAGGAGACCAGCCAGCGCCUGGCCAGCGAGUGGGCUGUCCAUCCCCCUAUCCUGAAAAUCACUCGAAUCUCCGCCAGUGGUGCUUUAAGGUCCCUCUUCAUUUAUCCUGGAGACAGUGUGAGGUGGGGGAGGUUCGGGGGAACCACAAGGCUCUCCCUGGCCCUACCAUCCUCUCCAAAGAACCCUUCUUCUCUCCUAAAAGCCAUGAGCCCCUCAGAUGCCUAGGAGGUUGCUGGGUCGCUUGACCUCCUUUGUCUAACUUCAAAAUGGACGUGGUCGGCCCCUCCCUUUAGAAGGUGGAUGGUACUUAUCCUUGUCUUUGGUUUGGAGGCUUUGGCAAAAAUAGGACACAGGAGGAGUCUCGAUCUACCUGUUACUCUUGUUCAACUCAAUUGAACAAACUUGGAGUGUAUGUUGCUUGCCAGGCAUUGAUCUAAAUGCUGGCAUUACAAGGUGAGCAAAAUGUAAUCCACACCCUCAAAGGAUCAGAGCAAAGCGGAUGGACAGCAGAGGGUCAGAUGGGGGGGCGUUCAGGGCGCAGCCUCCGCAGCCUGGGUGCCUGAGUCUGAAUUCUUACCAGCUGCCUGCCGUUGGGCAAGUUGCUUUAACUCUCUGCACCUCCGCUUCCCCACUUGUGAAGUGGGAUAAUCAUAGUAUAGCUAUUGUGAUGAUCAAACUAGUACAAGUACAAGUACAUAGAACAGAGCCUAGCACACAGUGCACUUAUUUGCGUUAAACACGAAACACUGUGCCGUCCUUACUGCUUCAGAAGCUUCAGCUCAUCCUGGACUUUACUUUUCCUUCUACUUGCCUUCCAGGUUCAGGCUCCUUUGCAUGAGACUCCGGACAUUGUCUUCGCUUUCUAGCUUGUUGUCACGUCCUUGUAGCCCCCAACUGGACUGAAUCCACACCCCGGUCACGUUAUAACUCUGCUUUUCAGAGUGCCUCCUAACCCGUCCCCUAUUUUAGCUCCUCACCGUGGGUUCAUUUGAAACGUAACUCGCCCCUUUGGUAUCUCCUUCCUAAAAACACAAGGCACACAUCUAAGUAAGCCCAGUGUUCCCUUCAGAACACUCAUACUAAGUUCAGAGCACUGGUCCUCGUGUUGCUUCCUUGCUCUUCUGAGAAAUAAAUCCAGGAGUUAAAGCAGGUCAACGUUUAGCACAAUUAGAUUUCUUGAAGCUCUCCAACCAACAAUGACUUUUCAGUACCUUUAUGACAGUUUCCUAAGUAGUUACUGUAACGGGAUAGUCACAUGAUACUCCUCCCAUUUGAAAAUUUGGGUGAGACCCCCAAGCUGAGAACUGCCCUCAGAGGGUGUUAGAUCAUCUGUGGAGGGCUGGCACACAGUGGUCCAAAACUGGUUCCGUCACCCACCUCAAGAGCUUAAAAGAGGAGGCUAGGAAUUUAUUAGGACUUUGAAGCAGCCGGUGGCAAGGAUUGGUUUGAAGAGAGUUGGCAGGAUGUGCGCAUUCCCACCACUCCAUCCCCAGCCCACCCACCCCCUGCUUCGGAGGAGGGGAGUGUAUUUCCCCAUCACCUUAAGCAAAGCCAGAGACAUAAGAAACCGCUCAGAGAGCUUUAUCUGUGAGGCUCAGAAUUGGGUGGGUGCAGACUGGUAGCUGCCUACCAUCUGCAAAGCCCAAAGAAAAGAUGUGAUUGAAACUGCUCCUGCCAGGGAGCAGAGUAAAGAGACAGGGCUUGGGAGGGCAGGUACCCUGACUUAGGGGUGCACGAGGGGCUGUGGGCUAAGGGGGGAGUGGCCAGCUGGAUGCGACUCUGGCUUCAUUAAAAGAACUGCAGGUCUCCCAUGACGUUGGGCGAGGUGCCAAGGGAAGACCCUCAAAGAACCCAUGAAAGUGCCAAGUAGGAGAAAGAAGCAUCCUGACUCCAGGCUGCAGUGGUCUCAACCAGGUGAGCCCUUUCUGGCUUCCACCCUUUCCUUCACUCUUCUCCUGUUUGGGGGGAGCCUGGAUCGAGAAGGAGUUCAAACAGUGAUGGAGCCAACAAGCUCCUACACCACCGCCAGCUCCGAAUCUUGCAUCCGGCCCAAACUGGCAGGAAGAGAGGACUCUAAACUGUAUGACAAACUUGAAUUCUGGAUUGAACUGGACAUUUUUAUUAUCUGAAAAGUGGGGCUAUUUGUUAAUUCCACAGGCCCUGCCUGAGAUUACAUCCAGGAGCAAAGAAGAAGCACUCGACUUAGCACAGAAAAAAUAGUAUAAUUGCUUUCUUCUUGCACUCUUUUGAGUCCAGCUCAUUUAAGGAAACGGUGACUCAGUAACAAGAAAGCAGAAGCCUUAUCCUCUAGGGUCUAGAUGGUCUGUGGACACAGAGGAUGAUUUGGUUGGAGUCUUGGAAGCAUGAUCCUCACAUUAAGAAGUCCUUAUGCAUUAGGAACCCACGCCCUGAGCGAUGGCCCUUUAAUCCUUUCUCCUUUUAGUUUCAUCCAUAUGCUUUGAUCGUCCUUCAUCAUGAAUAAAAGGUGCUAUAGGACCAGGGGGGACUCCUGUUGCCAUCCUCAGGAAGGAGCUGAGCUCAAGGACAUGACAGACAUAGGAAACAUUUGGCAAAAGACUGAACCCAAGGAGUGAGAGGGAAGCUUGGCCUCCAAGGCUGGACACAGGGUCUCUCUGGUGGGAGCACCCCGUGCACAAGUUCAGCACUUCACGAUGGCUGAGUGUGGGUGAGGGCUGUUGAAGCAAGCAGGUGAGUAAGAGCUCAGGGUGUGGGCCCCCCCAAAAGACGGGGGAAAGUUGAGGGUGAAGAGAGGGGAGGAGGACUGGGUGGAAGAGGAGGUCUGAGGAAGUUAGAAGGGCUCUGGCGGUGGGUUGCCAGACUUAGCAAAUAAAAACACAAGACGUCCAGUCCUUUGUUUUAUCUGGUCAUUCUACUCUAGAGACUGUUGGACCGGGGGAGUGAGCAUCAAUAUCUUUAGCAUUUGCUGUUGCGGCCAAUGGAGUCAUCCAGAAUUAAAGAGAGUGAAACAGUGUGGAAAUAGAGUGUUCUCCAUGUGAAUCAGAGACGGGGCAAACGUUAGAAAUACUAAGAUGCAUCAACUAUCAUCACCAGGAAACAGGGUCAUAUGGAAGACACAUUGCUUGCUUUGGUGAUGUAAAAGACACUAGAGAGAGCAAAUUUACGUUACCUGCUUUAAAGAAAUACGACUUAGAUAUAGAUGACUCUACGGGAAGUCACAUAACAACGUAAAACGUAUUAAAAAAGACCUCAGUAAAAUAAAAACAUGGGAAUAAACUCAAGAUAAUUGAAGGAGACAGUGGAGAAGAGACCCCAACACAUUUUCAGAAGAAGUGAAGAGAAUAAAAGCCCGUUGAUGGAUAAUCAGAUCCCGAAGCCAUAUUCCAGAAUGGUGGUGGGGAUAGAGGGGUGGGGAUGCAGAGGAGAGAAUUCCAGUUGUCUGCAGAUGCACUGGCCGUGGGUGGCUCCCCACGCUCUCCUCACCCAACCCCCGAUUUUGGAGCCUCUGCAGCCAAAUUCCAAGCAAAAAUCAGAGCUCCCUUUUCUACAGUUGUUGACAUCUUUCUGAGAAUUUGGGCUUCCAGACCCCUGGGUAACCGCCCCCCAGGUUUUGACACUUGAGAGCCUCCCAGGCAGACUCUUCUUUCUGCUCAACCAAAGUGAAGCCUGCCUGUCAGUAAGCCCCAUAAAAUGGUGGCAUGGUGGACAUUACCACGGAAGGGUAAUGAAUGGAAUCCAUUUAACCUGAGGGCACAGCAGCACAUGCUUCCAGACAUUGGGCCCAUAGUAUAAUCCUAGCUCAGCGCCUGCCUCAGUGUUUAUGGAAAGAACUGAUUUGAUGUAUCAACGAUUUCAGGUUAUAUUAAAGUUUAUUGGUUUCCCACCUUGACAAUCAGACUAAUAGAACACAGAAGACUUAAAUAUGGUUAUAGGAAAAAAUGUAAUAUGAUCAACCUUGACAGUGUGAAAAUAAAUUCCAGCUGUCAGAGAAUGAGAAGGGUAUAAGAAGAAGGGUGGAGCGCUCAUAUCUUAAUCUAGUUUAGUUGGGAAUCAAGAGGUACUUUCUAUGUAAAUCAGUGUAGCCAUUAUGGAAAAUAGUAUGGAGCUUCCUCAAAAAAUUAAAAGUUGAACUACCAUACGAUCCAGCAAUCCCACUUCUGGGUAUAUAUCCAAAGAAAAUGUAAACGGGGUCUCAUAGAGAUAUCUGAUUUCCCAUGUUCAUUGCAGCAUUAUUUACAAUAGACAAGAUGGGGAAACAAGCUAAGUAUCCAUCAAUGGAUGAAUGGAUAAAGAUUUGGUGUAUAUAUACCAGAAACAGAAUUCUUGCGAGUGACAACAUUUCAGUACAAUAUUUUCAGGUGGUUGGGUAGUUUGAUAUGCUAUGAUUUCCAGUUUUCACCGCUGAACUUUCAAAUCUCAUUAAAACAGCUCUUUGUUGCUAUUUGCUGAGUUAAAUCAGCAGUGAUACAGCAAAUAAGCAGACAUAACAGGUCUCCUCUUGGCAGGUAGAAUCAUGGACCUCCAAAAUACACGAUUGAGGAAGUGAUUUCAGAGCUAAAGCAUUGGGGGUGCCUUUAUAAGGAUUGUCUUCUGUCAAUCCUAACUGCUCUUUACAAGUGGAUGACUGAAAGAAAAAGAAGGCUCUUCCUUCUCCGCCAUGGUUGCGGUGUUUACUCUGGCAGGAGUCUGGGACAGGCGGGGUGCUCAGGAGUUUGGAAAUGUCUCUUAGUGUCUGAUGCAACCUGGUGUCCUGAAGAACAUUAAUUAAAAAAAAAAAAAAGUUACGGAC